rnacentral:rRNA from 1 species
AUGGCCGAGGCCGUCCGGGACGAUCAUCGUGGCGCGGUCGGCGUCGCGGUGGACGACCGCACCAACAACGGCGACAGCACGUGGGAGAUAGAGGAGUUGGAGCCGGACGACCGGACGGCCGGACCGCCUCCUCCCCCUCCUCCCGGGGCAGCGGCCAUCUCUGACGCCGACGACGUGUACGUGGCGGUGGGCAAGGGCGGGUCCAGCAUGGCGGCGCUGUCGUGGGCGCUGACGCAGCUCGCAAGGCCGCGGAGCUUCGUCUACCUCGUGCACGUCUUCCCCGUCGUCGCCACCAUCCCCACCCCAUGUAAUCAAGCAACCCUCUUCUCCCCCUUUCCUACCUCCUGA